rnacentral:rRNA from 1 species
GACGAACGCUGGCGGCGUGCUUAACACAUGCAAGUCGAACGAAGAGCGAUGGAAGCUUGCUUCUAUCAAUCUUAGUGGCGAACGGGUGAGUAACGCGUAAUCAACCUGCCCUUCAGAGGGGGACAACAGUUGGAAACGACUGCUAAUACCGCAUACGAUCUAAUCUCGGCAUCGAGGAUAGAUGAAAGGUGGCCUCUACAUGUAAGCUAUCACUGAAGGAGGGGAUUGCGUCUGAUUAGCUAGUUGGAGGGGUAACGGCCCACCAAGGCGAUGAUCAGUAGCCGGUCUGAGAGGAUGAACGGCCACAUUGGGACUGAGACACGGCCCAGACUCCUACGGGAGGCAGCAGUGGGGAAUCUUCCGCAAUGGACGAAAGUCUGACGGAGCAACGCCGCGUGAGUGAUGGCGGCCUUCGGGUUGUAAAGCUCUGUUAAUCGGGACGAAAGGCCUUCUUGCGAACAGUUAGAAGGAUUGACGGUACCGGAAUAGAAAGCCACGGCUAACUACGUG